GAAACUUAAAGGAAUUGGCGGGGGAGCACAGCAACGGGUGGAGCGUGCGGUUUAAUUGGAUUCAACGCCGGAAAACUCACCGGAGGCGACGGUUACAUGAAGGCCAGGCUGAUGACCUUGCCUGAUUUUCCGAGAGGUGGUGCAUGGCCGCCGUCAGUUCGUACCGUAAGGCGUUCUGUUAAGUCAGAUAACGAACGAGACCCUCAUCCUUAGUUGCUACUAACAACUCCGGUUGUUAGGCACAUUAAGGAGACCGCUGACGAUAAGUCAGAGGAAGGCGAGGGCAACGGUAGGUCAGUAUGCCCUGAAUCCUUCGGGCUACACGCGCGCUACAAAGGCCAGGACAAUGGGUUUCGACACCGAAAGGUGAAGGUAAUCCCGAAACCUGGUCAUAGUUCGGAUUGAGGGUUGAAACUCACCCUCAUGAAGCUGGAAUCCGUAGUAAUCGCGGAUCAACAUCCCGCGGUGAAUAUGCCCCUGCUCCUUGCACACACCGCCCGUCAAACCAUGCGAGUUGGGUCCAAGUGAGGAUGUAGUAUUUUGCUGCGUUCAAACUUGGGCUUAGCAAGCGGGGUUAAGUCGUAACAA
rnacentral:rRNA from 1 species